UGUUUAGGCAUGUGACAUGCUUAUAAAAUUAAGCAUGUCACAGUCAAGUGCAACCUAAGUCAGAGAAUGAACCACUACAUAGAUUUCAUAAAAGGGUCAACAUUAUUGUUGAUGUACUAUACAUUGUAUAAACGUUGAAUAACAUUAUACAUAUCAGUAUGUUCAAGGUAAUACACCCACAGUUUUCUGAUGCUCACUUACCUUCAUGCACAAUCAUAUAGAGGUGUCUUCAAUACUUAUUAUGUCUGCCUGUGUCGAACAACAUCUAAGUCAUUUUGGUCAAGUGAGUAAAAUUUAAAGGACAAGGCCACAAUCAGCAAUUUAUAUUUCUUUAAGAAACAAGGUGUUGUGUUUCAGAGCCGCCCUGAUACUGACGAGUGGAAAGGACACAUUGAGCCAAGCAGAUAUUGGGUUACAUCACUGCCGGAGAACCAAACAGUAUAGAUGUAAGUGGCUGUAUGAGACAGAACCGACUGUCCAAACAAAGGAGAUGCAGCAUUUACUCCUGUGUUUGCUCGGAAGCUUGGAAUAUGAACUUGCAGUGGUAUAGGUGGAAUUGCUCAGGAUGAAAUGGACUGUAAGCACAAGCCUGCUGUGGGAAAAGAGAAGUUGGCAGUGUGUAGAAUAUGAAUAUGAACCAGACAGUCAAACCCAACAGCACAGCGCAGUGUAAGACUAAAUUGGUGAAGGCAAAAGUACUGGGACUGCAGAGAUCUAACGAGUGUCUUUCCACUAAAUCUCUUAGUCUUAAAACUCCACGGGCUCUAAUGAGUUGUAGAGAUUUUAACACCACUACAGAGCUCAUCUUGAGUGCAGCUCAGUCAUGGUUUUCAGGUUGAAUUUUUCUUUAUUUAGUCAUGGAAAAAAAGAAGAGUAAAGUUUGGCCUGUCCCAAAAAAUGAAAACCUGGAGUUAGUUCAUUAAUGCCUCGUCAUUAAUUUGUUUCGAUCAGUUUUCAUGAUAAUUUUGCUGAUCAUGAUUGAUUUGCAACAGCAAUAAAAAGUGUAAAACAUUCAA